GACGAAGGUUGCGAGCGUUGUUCGGAAUCACUGGGCUUAAAGCGCACGUAGGCGGUCUGUCAAGCGCUUUGUGAAAUCCCUCGGCUCAACCGAGGAACUGCUUGGCGAACUGGCAGACUUGAGGCAGGUAUGGGCGCGUGGAACUCUUGGUGGAGCGGUGAAAUGCGUAGAUAUCAAGAGGAACGCCGGCGGUGAAGACGGCGCGCUGGGCUUGUCCUGACGCUGAGGUGCGAAAGCCAGGGGAG
rnacentral:rRNA from 1 species